rnacentral:rRNA from 1 species
GGAGGGUGCAAGCGUUGCUCGGAAUCACUGGGCGUAAAGGGUGCGUAGGCGGUCUCUCAAGUCUGGCGUGAAAGCCCAAGGCUCAGCCUUGGAAGUGCGCUAGAAACGGAGAGGCUGGAGUGCCGGAGGGGAGAGUGGAAUUCCCGGUGUAGCGGUGAAAUGCGUAGAUAUCGGGAGGAAUACCGGUGGCGAAAGCGACUCUCUGGACGGCAACUGACGCUGAGGCACGAAAGCGUGGGGAGCAAACAGGAUUAGAUCCCCUGGUAGUCCACGCCGUAAACGAUGGACACUAGGUGUCGGGGGUAUCCACUCCCUCGGUGCCGCCGCUAACGCAUUAAGUGUCCCGCCUGGGAAGUACGGUCGCAAGAUUAAA